CUAUAAUCAACAGCGUUUUGUCAACUACACUAGGGAUGCCCUACAGGGCCUGGCAGAGCAACUACAAGCCACUACCCAAAUGACAUUUCAGAACAGAAUGGCCCUAGAUAUGAUUUUAGCUGAGAAAGGGGGUGUAUGUAAAAUCCUCCCUGAGACCAUGACAUGCUGCACAUACAUUCCAGACAACACUGGGCCCAAUGGUAAGGUGACUAUGGCCAUAGAGAAGCUAGAUAGUCUCGCAGACGAACUAAAGAAAAAUUCAGGAGUCAUCGACCCUUGGGACAGAUGGUUUGGAUGGAUGAAUGGUUGGCAAAGGACCCUCUUCCAGGUGGGGACAGCUGUUUUCAUAAUGAUCGUUAUUUUCUUAUUUCUGACCUGUUGCAUAUUCCCCUGCAUACAGAAGUAUUUACAGAAAGCGGUGGAUAAGACUAUAGAUGACGUGACCCCUACUUUCAUACACCAAGACAUCACAGACCUCGAAGAUGAUACUCCACAUACACCCCUUCAAUCACAUCAGUUCAAACAAACAACUGCUUUCCUAUAGGGACAGUAUAGGGAAAGUGUCUGUCUUAACUGG